ACCCUGUUGAGCUUGACUCUAGUCUGGUUUUGUGAAGCGAGCUGAGAGGUGUAGCAUAAGUGGGAGCUUCGGCACCAGUGAAAUACCACUACUCUCGGUCUUGUUUUACUUACUCCGUUAGACCGAAAGGGGUGGAAACACUCCGUAUCUUAUUUGAUGUAUUAAGGCGACGUUUGUUUGCCGAUCGGUGCGGAGGACAUUGCCAGGUGGGGAGUUUGGCUGGGGCG
rnacentral:rRNA from 1 species